GAUGAACGCUGGCGGCGUGCCUAAUACAUGCCAGUCGAGCGAACAGACGAGGAGCUUGCUCCUCUGACGUUAGCGGCGGACGGGUGAGUAACACGUGGAUAACCUACCUAUAAGACUGGGAUAACUUCGGGAAACCGGAGCUAAUACCGGAUAAUAUAUUGAACCGCAUGGUUCAAUAGUGAAAGACGGUUUUGCUGUCACUUAUAGAUGGAUCCGCGCCGCAUUAGCUAGUUGGUAAGGUAACGGCUUACCAAAGCAACGAUGCGUAGCCGACCUGAGAGGGUGAUCGGCCACACUGGAACUGAGACACGGUCCAGACUCCUACGGGAGGCAGCAGUAGGGAAUCUUCCGCAAUGGGCGAAAGCCUGACGGAGCAACGCCGCGUGAGUGAUGAAGGUCUUCGGAUCGUAAAACUCUGUUAUUAGGGAAGAACAAAUGUGUAAGUAACUAUGCACGUCUUGACGGUACCUAAUCAGAAAGCCACGGCUAACUACGUG
rnacentral:rRNA from 1 species